rnacentral:ncRNA from 1 species
UGGCAUUGAGGCAAUAGACUGGUUCGGCAUCAGCCUGUUGUAGAGCCAAACCGUGGGUUCAGCGAUAACCACAAGCCGAAUAGAUUCGAUGAAUCGAAAGAAAACGCCAAAA